GUCCAGCUAACGAGUCCGAAAUAGGACGAAACGCGCGUCAUGGAU
rnacentral:hammerhead_ribozyme from 1 species